GAGUGCGCUUUGCUUUCCCGGGGUCUGGGGCUAAUUCCUCCUCUCUUCCCCAUGAACUCAGCUCCUCGAGCUCAAUACACAAAAGGGAGCGACAAGGUCGAGCCGUUGGAAAAAGUCUGUUAUAUAUAGUAGGUUUCGAGGCGAGUAAGAGAAAAAACAAUAAACACCACAGCUCUCUCCAGCUAGAAAUAUUAGGCACCACGAGAAAAAUAUUUGCCAAGCAGUUUUUCGGUGGGUUCAUUUGCUUUAUUUUUAUUUGGGACAGUUUUUUUUCCUGGUUGGUGUAGUGGCUUGGGAUUUGGGGUUGUAUUUUGAUUGUUUUCGGAUUUUUGCUUCUGAUUUUCGCCUUUUGCAACUUUGUGAUGUUACGUAAAUCGUAGGAUCCCGCAUCGGUUGGAUUUUGUUUUGAGUGUUUCUUUUUUUCCCCUGUCUAAUCUCUGAAGCGCUUUAAAGAAGAUGUGUUAUUUUAAUACUGAUUCUAUUGAAAGAAGCUUAGAUUUUUGGUCGUAUGUAGCAAUCCCAACCCCCACUUUUGGGGAGGGGUGCAAUUUUCUUUUUCCCCUUGGACUUUUACUAAGAGAAGGCUCUCCUUCCCUUGAGAAACAUGUUCAAAGGAUUUGUUUUGUUUUGGUUUGUUUCUUUCCAGGACAGCAAGUGGUGGAUUUACUCUUUCUGUUAUUGUUGACUCUUAGGAAAUUUCUUGCUGCAAGAAACGUUGUGUGUAUGUGGGUUUGUGUACGCGUGUGUUCUACAGAAUUCUGUGAGCUAAAUACGUGUUUGUGUUUUGCUUUUUCUUAAGGUUUUGAUUCACCCCCCCCCUCCUCCCAGCUCGUUUCAAGGUCGCUGUAAAAAAUCUCUCCUGUCUGUGUUUAAAGAGAUCAGCCGGAGGGAAUUCUAAAGGCCUGGCAUGCCAGUAUCACAGAUACUGCGUGUAUUUAGAACAGACUGUGCUACAACUACAAGGCGCUGCACGCAGCACAGUCCUCUUAGCGUUAGAGCUGAGUUAGGAGGAGGAGGAAAAGGGGCGAAUCUUUCUUUCUUUCUUUCUUCCUUCCUUCCUUCCUUCCUUUCUUUUUAAAGGCAAAUGCAGUGCAGAAUCAUUUCACUGUGGGCCUUGGUUUGUUUAUUCAGAACUGCCAGUUUCCCUAUUUAAAUGUUGGUUGGGGUUUUUUCCCCUCCUACUCAUCCCUGAAUAAGGGAGACUCUUGUUUCUUUUAUGUCUCUCUCUUAAAAGAAGGGUGUGAGGGGAAAAUAAUAUUUCAGAUUCCUCAAGUAUUAACCCAAAAUGUUUGGACCAGAAGCAGCUUUCAAAGGUCAGGCUGUUCUGGGCCUUGGCUAUGAGAGUCCUUCAGGCGACUCAUUAAAUUACAGACCAGUUCUUAAGGUUCCACAAAAUUUCUGCACGUGUUAAUUUCCAAUAAUGAUAUCUUCCCAAAUAAUCUACCUCUCCUAACCCCACAAUUGGGUUUUUAGUGGAGAAGUGAGCAGAGCUAUGAAAGAUUGCUGGCUGUUUCCUGGGAAAUUUGGGAUCUCUUUCUCGGAAGAAGUCCUUAAGAAGUUCAGAUCUAUCGCUGAAAAUGUUGUUUUCCAUGCAGCCCCACUUUUGAAAAAGCUGUUUUGAGGCUUUCAGAAUCAGGAGGGAUCCAAAGGGGCUGAUUACUUUCCACGAGGGCUGGAGCUUAGGAAAUAUGCAAGCCUAUCUGAAGCCAGCUUGAUGGCAGGGAGAGCUGGAGAGCGGAAGAAUGUGCUGAGGGAGGGAGUGCUCGGUACUUUUCCAUUCACAUCUCCACAGUGGCUUUUCUUGUUUAUUUCAACCUCCACCCGCAGAACCCUUUCAGCUGCCUGAAAUCCGAGUCAUUAAACUGUUCCCUGAGGUCAGACCACAGAUGCUCGGUGCAUGAUUCCUACAUGUCGGUGUCUCUGUAACAUAUGUACAUACAGAGAUGUACUCAUAAACGUGCAACUCCGUGAGGGCACAGUGUGAGGCAGGGGGAAAAAAAUGACUGGGUUUGUGGCCAAAAAACCUUGGUUUCUAAUUACAGUUCUGCCUGGAACUCCAUAUGGGACCUGGAGCAAAAUCACUUGUCAGGACUCAGUUUCCUCAACUGUGUGAAAGAAUAACCCAGAUGAUUUACAGGCUGUCUGUCUGUUCCAAAUCCUAUGCCUUUACAUCUAAACACAUAUUCAUAUAACUUUAAGUUGGAGGUGGGUUGGAAAGGAGCUGUGUGUAUAUGUGUCCCUGGGGUGGGAGAAGGAGUUAAAAUGUAAACUUCUAAGUAAAGAGGGCAGUCCCAGAAUCCUCACCUCUAUCAAUUUUUAACCAAUUAUAGACCAAAGUCUGGGACUGUGUUGAGUAGGUCCAAAAGCCAUCUGAAGAUUUUAAAUGUUAAGAGUUGGAGGAGGCCAGUUCUAAGCCCUUGUACCUUUGAUCUCCAGCAUUCAUAAUCAGAUGUGACAGUUCCCAAGUGUCUUUUCUGCACUACAGUUCCUUUUUUUUCUUCUUCUUCUUCCGUUUGUUUUUGGAAACUGUCCCAGUAAUGAUAGGAAGGAGAUGACACUUGUAAACUGGGCACUCUUUAAGCCACUGGGACCCACAGGGAUGUAAAAAAUGUCAUAAUAUUCACACACACACACACACACACACACACACACACAAGAAGAAGAAAAAGAAAAAAGAAGAAGAAGGAAAAAAAAACCUAGAGAGAGAUUCCUGGUAAGAAACUUAGAGGUAGCUCACCCAUCACUGCAUUAAAGGUAAUUGUCUGAAGUCAAAGGAAAUAACAGAUAAGGAGUUUGCCCUUAUUAAAAAAAAAAAAAAAAAAGCUUGCUCUACCAGAACAAACUUGAAAACAAUGAAAGAGAAAUACUUUCUACCAAUAUUUACUAUGCUUUUAAAAUCUUUAUUCUUUAAAAAGAAAGGUCUGAAGUUUCUCAGGCCUGGUUGUCUAGACAUAAGAAGGCCUUUAACAGACGUCGGCAUCUUCAGGAAAUAAUCAAGUAGCUCCUGUUUAUUAGCAGUGACCUCCACCCCAGCACCAUCCCUCCCCUUAGACCUUCUGCAGUAUUGAUGCCCACGUACAAGGAGAGAUGGAGCCAACUACAUUCUCUCAGUGGACAGCUAUUGAGAGUCAUAAUAUACCAGCACUGGGAGGCUCCUUAGCAAUUAUCUAAUUCAACACUACUGAUUUCAUAUAUUUGGAAAUUGAGGCCCACACAGAAUGCACUUGCCACACACACUGGAUCAGACAGAGCCAGAUCCAGAGCUUUGACACCCUGAUUCUAAAUCCACUGCAUUUUCCAUAGCUUACCAUGAAAAGAGGAUAUAGCAUGGGCAGCCCUGCAAAAGGGCCAUUUGCUGAGGCCUUACAUUCAGAAAAGUUGCCACCUUUGGACUUUUGGCAUAAUCUCCACUGAGGUUGUGCAAAGACUCAACUGAGUCUUAGCAGUGCAAUGACAGGAUGGAAGGGAGAAGACCAUCGUGCACAAGCUCUAUGUGUGGGUCCCAGUGUAGGAGCCCCCGCGGGCCCCUACAGUGCUGUGAUUUCAUACUGUUAACCAACCUUUACUUGUCUUAUGAAUGGUGCUACUGUAUUUUAAUUGUGUAUGUGUUGAUUUUCAAAUGUAAAAUGUAAUAUAUGUUUGGCCUAGAAGCAAUGUCGCUGCAGCAGCAAAGAGCACAGCUAGUGGCAGAUGCUGGUGUCUGACACCACUCUCCAGUAGUGGAGGGCAAGGUGUGGCUGCUUCUAGAUCUAGGACAAGGGCAGCAAG